CAAUUUAUCAAAUUAAAAAACCCUAAAACCCAAACAACCUCUGUCCUCUCUUCAUCAUCUUCACCAUUCAAGCAGACAACUUGAUGAUCCAUUGCGCAAUUUAACAUGCAUCACUGACGCCCACAAACAUUCCCGCACUAGACUAUCUUUCUACCCCAUUCACACACACAUAUUUUGCAGACUAAAAUCUAGCAGGAAAAUUCAAGAUUUCUGAGAGGAACCCAAGUUUUAUUUUCCUAUUUCCUUGCUGGGUUUCUUCGAGGAACCCUCUUUGCCUCAUUUUCUCUGUUUUGCCAACUUUGGGGGUUUCAAGUAUUCAAGAACCACAAUUUGAAAGCCAGAAAGAAGUAAUAUCAUCAGGCUUCUCCGACAGAAAGGAAGAGUCGAAAUCAGAAGUUUUCUGAUGGCUGCAAAUAAGCCUCGAACGAGUAGUUUCUCUCGAAAUGUUGCAGUUUCCUUGCUCGGUUUCUUCUUAGCUCUUUUUUCUUGUAGAAAAAUAUUUGGUUUUAGUGUAAAUUUGCACCGGGUAAUGGAUUUUUCCGCUUCCGAAGUUUUGUUUUUGGAUGCAAAGUUAAUUUAGCUUCUGUUGUUUGGUCAAAGCUCAUCAGAUUUCGUGCUCUCAAUGGGCAAUUGGACGAAGCUCACCACCUGUUCGAUCAAAUGCCUAAAAGGAAGAUGAACCAAACUGUUCUGGAAAAGUUAGGUAAAAGUCUUGUAGUUUGGAUACAAAUGCUUAAUUAAGUUCUUGAUAGAUGCUGAUUGCUUAGUUGCCCUUUCUCCUCUUUUAAACCAAGUCUAAACUCAUUUAGAUUAUUCUAUUCUUGUUCUUGAAUAUUUCAGCCAAUGAAUAAAUUACUGAUAUUGGAAAAAAAAGAAAAACAUUUUCAUUUCUUGAAUUUGUUCUGCGUUGUGGAAAGUCGUUAGAUUGGUUUUGGAGAAACCAAGAAAGAUUCGUGUUAAUGCAUCUUUCACUAUGGAAGCCUAUAUCAUUCUCGUGCAACCUUGAUGAUGGACAAGAAGUGCAGGAGAGGAAAAGGUUCUUGAGUUGGAUGGCUGAAUGUUGACUAUGUCUGACCAUGAGAGCCAGUGUAUGAGUUGGAUGGCUGAAUGUGCUAAAGAGAAGGGUGCAAAGGUGUAUAGGGCCUGGUUUAUGGACAUAUACUGAUAUGCAUGGUACAGCAUCAGCAGCCAGGGAGGCUACCUUUUGAUAUCUUCUUUUGAAUUUCAAUAGUUUCUUUCAAACAUUAUUGGAAAAAGUCCAAAGGCUCUCUUACUUUGGCACAAAUCAAAUACAGCAAUUGUAGUCACAGUACUUCGGCACUCUUAUUGCAUUAUCAUCUUCCCACCUGUCGAUUUUAGAGCACUGAUGUACCCGAAAACAUGAAAAAUGUGCAAGUAAACACAUUGGUAAACAACGGUCA